rnacentral:rRNA from 1 species
AUUGAACGCUGGCGGCAUGCCUUACACAUGCAAGUCGAACGGUAACAGGUCUUCGGAUGCUGACGAGUGGCGAACGGGUGAGUAAUACAUCGGAACGUGCCCGAUCGUGGGGGAUAACGAGGCGAAAGCUUUGCUAAUACCGCAUAAGAUCUAUGGAUGAAAGCAGGGGACCGCAAGGCCUUGCGCGAACGGAGCGGCCGAUGGCAGAUUAGGUAGUUGGUGGGGUAAAGGCUUACCAAGCCUACGAUCUGUAGCUGGUCUGAGAGGACGACCAGCCACACUGGGACUGAGAAUCGGCCCAGACUCCUACGGGAGGCAGCAGUGGGGAAUUUUGGACAAUGGGCGCAAGCCUGAUCCAGCCAUGCCGCGUGCAGGAUGAAGGCCUUCGGGUUGUAAACUGCUUUUGUACGGAACGAAAAGGUUCGGGUUAAUACCCUGGGCCCAUGACGGUACCGUAAGAAUAAGCACCGGCUAACUACGUGCCAGCAGCCGCCGCAGUAA